rnacentral:rRNA from 1 species
UGCGAAACUCGAAUGAACGAACGGGGAGAUUCAUCGUUAUUCCGCGGCGUGGCGGCGCGCUCACGAUGCGGCACGGUCUCGGCCGUGUGCCGUACGGGGUGCGUCGUUCGACGUUCACGGACGGCGUGCACUUCUCCCUUAGUAAUACAUCGCGACCCGUUCGACGUCGGCCUAAGCUCCGUUCGGGAGUCACGAUUGCACCUCUCGGGGUGCAGCCGUGACCGUGACGGCUGCCGGCCGGCUGUCGGACGGUAUGUUGACGGAACGCGUACGCGUUUAUGCGCGUCCGGCCCGACGCAAGGCGUUCGUCGUCCAUCGCCGUCCUGCCUCAGUGCGGGCGGCGGUGCGGCGAGCCUGUUGUCGCAGCCGUGCUGUCUCGGACUGUACGCGUCCCCUGUCUGCGAUGAUUCAGUUUCGG